GACAGAGGGUGCAAACGUUGCUCGGAAUUACUGGGCGUAAAGCGCGUGUAGGUGGUCACCCCAGUCGGAUGUGAAAGCCCAGGGCUCAACCCUGGACGUGCAUACGAUACUAGGUGGCUGGAGUCUCGGAGAGGAUAGCGGAAUUCCCGGUGUAGAGGUGAAAUUCGUAGAUAUCGGGAGGAACACCAGUGGCGAAGGCGGCUAUCUGGACCGACACUGACGCUGAGGCGCGAAAGCGUGGGGAGCAAACAGGAUUAGAAACCCGGGGUGA
rnacentral:rRNA from 1 species